UGAGGGAUAUUGGUCAAUGGGGGAAACCCUGAACCAGCAACGCCGCGUGAGGGAAGACGGUUUUCGGAUUGUAAACCCCUGUCCUCUGUGAAGAUGAUGACGGUAGCAGAGGAGGAAGCUCCGGCUACCUACGUGCCAGCAGCCGCGGUAAUACGUAGGGAGCGAGCGUUGUCCGGAUUUACUGGGUGUAAAGGGUGCGUAGGCGGCUAUGCAAGUCAGAAGUGAAAUCCAUGGGCUUAACCCAUGAACUGCUUUUGAAACUGCGUGGCUUGAGUGGAGUAGAGGUAGGCGGAAUUCCCGGUGUAGCGGUGAAAUGCGUAGAGAUCGGGAGGAACACCAGUGGCGAAGGCGGCCUACUGGGCUCUAACGGACGCUGAGGCACGAAAGCGUGGGUAGCAAACAGG
rnacentral:rRNA from 1 species